GUGGUACAACCCUUGCGCCAGAAGGAGUAUCUCCAUGACUAUUUGCUGGAAAACAGUUCUAUAGAGCUGAGUUUCUCCAGGAUUACUUGGAAGAUACCACUGCACUUUGAGAAUGAGAAUUAUAUCAACCUUCACUACAACCAGGUGUUGCAGAGUUAUAUGACAGGGAAACUACAGUGCAACAGUGAACUAGAGCAGCAAGUGGUUACCUUAGCUCUGCUUCAGCACUGGGCCAAAGGAGCUAGAUCACUCCCUUCCACAGAAGAGUUAAGAAGCUGCAUUCCUGAUCCUGUGGUACAACUCAUCAACCUAGAAACCAUUCACAACUUUGUCACCCAUGAUCUGGAACAGAGACAGCCACUUGAACAACAUGAGGCAAAAA